rnacentral:rRNA from 1 species
GAUGAACGCUGGCGGCGUGCCUAAUACAUGCCAGUCGAGCGAACAGACGAGGAGCUUGCUCCUCUGACGUUAGCGGCGGACGGGUGAGUAACACGUGGAUAACCUACCUAUAAGGCUGGGAUAACUUCGGGAAACCGGAGCUAAUACCGGAUAAUAUAUUGAACCGCAUGGUUCAAUAGUGAAAGACGGUUUUGCUGUCACUUAUAGAUGGAUCCGCGCCGCAUUAGCUAGUUGGUAAGGUAACGGCUUACCAAGGCAACGAUGCGUAGCCGACCUGAGAGGGUGAUCGGCCACACUGGAACUGAGACACGGUCCAGACUCCUACGGGAGGCAGCAGUAGGGAAUCUUCCGCAAUGGGCGAAAGCUUGACGGAGCAACGCCGCGUGAGUGAUGAAGGUCUUCGGAUCGUAAAACUCUGUUAUUAGGGAAGAACAAAUGUGUAAGUAACUAUGCACGUCUUGACGGUACCUAAUCAGAAAGCCACGGCUAACUACGUG